CCAGCCCAGGAACUGGAACUGCUGCACCAUCCGGUAGCCGUCCUGUGGCUGGAGGGGAAGGACACACCAGUUAUCCCAGUCAAAGUAUCAACUCUACAGCACUGCAUUAAGAUAUUUCCAGCUGAGCAACCAUGGAUUUUGAGUGCAGUGAUCUAUUUUCAGGGCAGCGUUGAUGUAAUUGGAGCUCUCCCCGUCGAUGGUGAUCAGGAAGGGGAGGCAACGGUCUGGAGGCAGGACGUCCAUGCAGCGAUU